GACGAACGCUGGCGGCGUGCUUAACACAUGCAAGUCGAACGGAAAGGCCCUGCUUUUGUGGGGUGCUCGAGUGGCGAACGGGUGAGUAACACGUGAGUAACCUGCCCUUGACUUUGGGAUAACUUCAGGAAACUGGGGCUAAUACCGGAUAGGAGCUCCUGCUGCAUGGGGGGGGUUGGAAAGUUUCGGCGGUUGGGGAUGGACUCGCGGCUUAUCAGCUUGUUGGUGGGGUAGUGGCUUACCAAGGCUUUGACGGGUAGCCGGCCUGGGAGGGUGGCCGGCCACAUUGGGCCUGCGAUACGGCCCAGACUCCUACGGGAGGCAGCAGUGGGGAAUCUUGCACAAUGGGCGGAAGCCUGAUGCAGCAACGCCGCGUGCGGGAUGACGGCCUUCGGGUUGUAAACCGCUUUCGCCUGUGACGAAGCGUGAGUGACGGUAAUGGGUAAAGAAGCACCGGCUAACUACGUG
rnacentral:rRNA from 1 species